AUGGGGUGCAGCAGGCGCGAAACCUCCGCAAUGCACGAAAGUGUGACGGGGUCACCCCGAGUGCCAUCCGCUGAGGGUGGCUUUUGUUCGGUGUAAUGAGCCGAAUGAAUAAGGGGAGGGCAAGUCUGGUGUCAGCCGCCGCGGUAAUACCAGCUCCUCGAGUUGUUGGGACGAUUAUUGGGUCUAAAGCGUCCGUAGCCGGCCGGAAAAGUUCACCGUUAAAUCCGACGAUUCAAUCGUCGGGCUGCGGAGAAUACUCUUCGGCUUGGGGGCGGGGGAGGUCGGCGGUAGUCCCGGGGCAGGGGCGAAAUCUUAUAAUCCCGGGAGGACCACCAGUGGCGAAGGCGGCCGACUAAAACGCGCCCGACGGUGAGGGACGAAAGCUGGGGGAGCAAACCGGAUUAGAUACCCGGGUAGUCCUAGCUGUAAACGAUGCUCGCUAGGUGUCAGACACGGUGCGACCGUGUUUGGUGCCGCAGGGAAGCCGUUAAGCGAGCCACCUGGGAAGUACGGUCGCAAGGCUGAAACUUAAAGGAAUUGGCGGGGGAGCAC
rnacentral:rRNA from 1 species